rnacentral:rRNA from 1 species
GGAUGUGAUGGGGAGCGAAAUUUAGUAGCGAAGUAGCUGAUUUCACACUGUCAAGAAAAGUCUCUAUCGAGGUUAAAGGUACCCGUACCGCAAACCGACACAGGUGGGUGAGGAGAGUAUCCUAAGGCCAGCGAGAGAACUGUUGUUAAGGAACUCGGCAAAAUGACCCCGUAACUUAGGGAUAAGGGGUGCCACCAUCCGGUGGCCGCAGAGAAUAGGCCCAAGCGACUGUUUACCAAAAACAUAGGUUUCUGCUAAGUCGCAAGACGAUGUAUAGGAGCUGACGCCUGCCCGGUGCUGGAAGGUUAAGGGGAUCUGUUAGAGCAAUCGAAGCAGUGAACUUAAGCCCCAGUAAACGGCGGCCGUAACUAUAACGGUCCUAAGGUAGCGAAAUUCCUUGUCGGGUAAGUUCCGACCCGCACGAAAGGCGUAACGAUUUGGGCACUGUCUCAACAACAGACUCGGUGAAAUUGUAAUUCCGGUGAAGAUGCCGGAUACCUGCGACAGGACGGAAAGACCCCAUGGAGCUUUACUGUAGCUUGACAUUGGGUCUUGGUACUACAUGUACAGGAUAG